rnacentral:rRNA from 1 species
UACGUAGGGUGCAAGCGUUGUCCGGAAUUAUUGGGCGUAAAGAGCUCGUAGGCGGUCUGUCACGUCGGCUGUGAAAUCCCGAGGCUCAACCUCGGGUCUGCAGUCGAUACGGGCAAACUAGAGUACUGCAGGGGAGACUGGAAUUCCUGGUGUAGCGGUGAAAUGCGCAGAUAUCAGGAGGAACACCGGCGGCGAAGGCGGUGCUCUGGGCCAGUAUUGACGCUGAGGAGCGAAAGCGUGGGUAGCAAACAGG